UACGAAGGGGGCUAGCGUUGCUCGGAAUCACUGGGCGUAAAGCGCACGUAGGCGGCUUUCUAAGUCAGGGGUGAAAUCCCGGGGCUCAACCUCGGAACUGCCUUUGAUACUGCAAAUCUCGAGUCCGAUAGAGGUGGGUGGAAUUCCUAGUGUAGAGGUGAAAUUCGUAGAUAUUAGGAAGAACACCGGUGGCGAAGGCGGCCCACUGGAUCGGUACUGACGCUGAGGUGCGAAAGCGUGGGGAGCAAACAGG
rnacentral:rRNA from 1 species